rnacentral:lncRNA from 1 species
GCACAGCCCAGAGCAAGCCGGAGUGAUGAGGCUGAUUGGUUGGGCACGGGAGCGCCAGGGUGUGGGCUGUGAGCUCUCGCCUCACUCCCAGGGACGCAGGAAACCCGGGCGCAUUCGAGCAGCGGCUCCUCCCGGCUCUAAGAAGCCGAGUCCGUUGUUCGUGUCUGACCGGUCUUUCCUUUACGAUCUCUCUUCUUCCAAAAUUGACAUCUUGGUGGAUGGUCCGAAGGAAAGUCCGAGGUCACAAUGGAUCCUGAAGGUGGCCGUAAUGGAAGAGCAGAGAAGAACUUCUUGAAAAUGGGCAAAAAAAAGUAAAAAAGAUGAGAAGAAAGAAAAGAAACCAACUGUCAGUACAUUUGCAAUGGUGAGUCUGAAUUUACUUAGUGAUCAAAUUGCUUUGGAAAUUUGAUUUUUUUCCUAGAAAAGAGAUAU